rnacentral:pre_miRNA from 1 species
GUGAUUUCUGGUGUGGCAUCAUCAAGAUUCACACAAUGUAUGGCAUGCAUGCGAUGCUCUCAUCCUUCCCCAUCCAUGCAUGCAUGUGAACUGUAGUUCCGUUCAUGCAUGGGAGAUGGAUGGAUUGAUGAGCUUGCUUGCUAGCUAGCCAGCGUACUAUGUGUGGGAAUCUUGAUGAUGCUGCAUCGGUGAUCAA